rnacentral:lncRNA from 1 species
ACAGAUUCUUAUUUUGAUAGUGUACUGGUCUACUAUUUGGUGAUACAAACGGUAACAGCAAUGCUGGUUGGUAAAAUAUUGAAAUACUUGCAUAGUGGUUGGCCUUGAAUGCCUUCUGCUCAACCUUUGUCUGCACUUUAAGAGCAACUUCAGUCUUCAUCUCAGUCAGGAUGCCCUCCAUGUCAACAGCAUAUGGUGACUAGUUAAGGGGUAGACGUGCGCCACCUGGCUCAGCCUUGAGAAUUUUGCUUGAGUUGCUGAGACAAAGAUAUGUGCUUUCCACUGGGAUAUAACUGUGGUAGAAUAAAGGAAAGACUCCCAAAAGCCACCUUUGCAACCCCAGUGAAGAGUCUAAUGGAGGGUUGACGCCAACACAGAGAAAACCAAGUCCAGGGAUGGUGAGAGACUGUGUGCGCCCCUGGAUCCAGGUACUGAAUGCUGGCUAGGUCCAUCCCUGGACUUUUCAGGUAAGGAGCUCAGAAACUGAUCACUUCGCUUGAGUUGGAAUAUCACUUGGAACAGAGUUCUAAAAUAGACCUUUUAAGCAUGUUCCCACUCCAAAAGGUGAAGAAAGCCUAAUUUUUUCCCCCAGGUUCUUGAGUGCUCAUAGCUGAUUUCUUCCUCUUCAUAUCAGUCUCUACCAUUCACUAUUGUUAAAGCCAAAAGUUAACAAGUUCACAGGAAGUACCACUUAGGGCUGAUUACCUUGCUGGGAUUCCCAAGAGUAGCAUGAGGCCUAGAGAUUUUAUAAUAACAUACGAGAUGGAGAAGCUGCAAAGGGAAGGGGAAGGGAGAGCAGGAGAGAACUUGAAUCAACUCUGCUACAGAAUUACCGAUUUCUUCCUGGGCAGCUACAUUCUGAUUAAACCAACUGCUGGGGGGUGAGGGAUGAGGAAGGAACAGACUGUGAUGACUAUCACCAUUUGAGUUUUACUCUGCUAUAUGCCGCUCUUCUAUCAAGUAACCCGAGGAAACACCUUAUAGGAAUAGCUCUCAAGACGUGGUUCCUGGGCCAGCAGCACCUGGUAGCUCGUUAGAGAUGUGUCCAGGUCAACGCUGGAGCAUGAGGAAAGCAAAUUGGGUUGAACCUCUUCACAGGACCUGCUUCCUGAGAUCUUCUCGCCAGCAGCCUGCAGUGUGGGCUUUCUGAGAACAGAGGGCAUGAGGAAACGCCACAGCCCCAGAGACGUUCUCUGCCUGCAGGUGCUGACAAUACACAGACACACACCUGUGUCUAAGUGGGCCCAUUUUCACCUCUGGGAACAGGCCCUGCUGAGGAGGGGAGGUCCUCCAGCACAGCAAGGCAAGCCUGCUCACUCGGUCCUGCUUCCCACAGUCCAGCAAGCCCUGCUGGUUGCUUGUCAUUCCCUUCCUCUCUCGUGUCACCAUCUAGCAGCAUUCUGGGAGACGAUGACCCUUCUUUUCUCACGUACUCUAAUCCCAUGUUACCCAAGUGUGGUCCGUGGACCAGCAGCACCUGCAUUACCUGGGAACUUGGAAAAGCAGAGUCUCAGGCCACACCCAAC